UUCACUUUCAGCUUCUUGCAUAAGGACAGCUGUUAGGUCUAUGUCCAUACUACACUAGAAAUGUGCCUGGGAACCUUCCCUAAGUACAAUUAGCAUGAAAUAGCUAAGACCUAUGAUACUAAAUUCUUUUAGUCUCCACCACAGAGAUUGAUGAGCAUUGGGAAUGGUCCUUGGGAUGGUGUAAACCCCAAGAUGUGCCAAGAAAAUAUUGGGCAUUAGCUAAUUUACAUUUAGGGCACACAGGAGUAGUUUAAUGGAAUAGACAAUCACAUUCCAGUACUUUGCUGACAGAAUAAUCUGCUAGCCUAGACACAGCCUUCGAGGAUUAAAGAUAAAUUUCAGAUAUAGACUGAUCAAGAUGUCCUUCCCAAAGCUGUAUAUUAUGCAAUGGGAAACCUGGAACUUCACAUGAAGUACACCAAUUGUCUCAUUUGAGGCACUUAAUAGGAUAUUUAGAGGGAUGUUUUUCAGUGAUAAAGAAAAAUUACAUCAUUCUGCUUAACAUCAUUGAAAUGUGUCUGCCAAUCAAACUAAUUCAGAGGAGUGAUUCUGGACUGUAUAAACAUUUAUCACAGAAGUAAUACAUUCAUGGAUAUUUUCCUGAUAUUUGCCACCAGCUAAACUGUGAGUUUCAAGUUAUUUCAGAAUAUUGUUGAACUUUUAUUCAGUUUGCAUAAAAAUGUAUUUCUUUAAAGGCUGAGAAGAAACUGGAACAUGAAGAUACACACUCUAAAACCAGGCAUGAUAAUGUUUACUUUAAGGAGUAUUUUAGCUAAAUAAAAAGAUCAGAAAGAAUUAAGUGGAAUAUUAAGAGCAGGUGCCACAGUAAGUGCAAUACCUACAAGAAACAGAAAGCAAGAAGAAAUAUCUUAAAGAAAGUUUAACCUCCUAAAUUCGCUCAAAAUGUUAGUGUAGCUUUGUAAGUCUUUUAAUUUGAAAACUGCAUGUCACUCUCUUCUUUCAAAGUAUGAGUGAAAAAGCAGAGUUUCUGUAGACACAAAAAAUUAAAAUCAAUGAGAAUCCCUCCAUCUGUACUCCAGGGGCAGUACUGCCUUAACUAAAAAGUCAUCAUGAUCCUCAGGUGUCUUGAUGAAGAUAGAGAUGCCUAAGCAUCAAGAAGCUAAAUUUGACUUGGAACACUACUGCUUGCUAAAAUGAUGCAAGCUACUCCUGUCACUUCUUUCCUCUUUAAUCUACACAUUGUUAUACCCAUUUAAACUGAAGUGUUUCUGGAGAUUUCUGAGGAUUAUCACUUUAUAAACAAUGUAUAGGGAGUUUCAGACAAGAACAUAAAAAAGAAAAACUGUUACCUAUAAGAAAUGACUGCAAAAUUUGGUAUUACUUGAAAAAAAUAACAGUAUCUUAGGUAAAAAAAAAAAAAAAAUCCUCAUAUAACUGCACAAAACAAAUAUAUUCCUAACACAAAGCAUACAUUGUUAAAAAGGAGCACCUGACUACUUUUUUUAAUAUUGCCUUUAUAACUUCAAUCAUUCCAAAUGUCCCCAAAUUGUUAUUGCCAACAGAAUUAGCAAAAUAUUCGUGCUUCCCUUUGAAGUUAGAUAUGACCAUAACACAUACUUUCCACUACCUCAAGUCUGAUUACACAGAUUUUGAUUUUUAUUUUCAAUAAACUAAAGAUGGCUGCUGAUUUUCUUGUACACGUUAGAAGGCAACAGAAGACAGUAACAUGUGAAAAGAAUUUAUUUCAUUCCUGAUGCAUGCACACUCGAGAUGUAGCUAGAAAAAAGUUAACACAGGAAUCACAACAAACAGUUGCAUUACACCAACUUGUUAAUGCUAUGUUAAGCUACUGUUAAGCUAUGCCUAAAUCAAAAUCACAGUAUCUGGUAUGUCUACAAGGUGACAAAAAUUGGUAGCUGUUUAGAAAAAAAAUAUUAAUGACAGAAACAUGGAAACUGCAGGUCAGGAUGUAGUAAGAAGAUGUACAGUGCAUGAGUGCCCCUUAGCCUCUCAGGAUAGUGACGACAGAAAUUAACCUACCACUAGGAAUUGUCUUGUGGCUGUAAACUGGCCAUAGCAUUUUAUCAGUUGUAUCUUGGUAUUGCGCUGUUGGGAGUGCAGUGUGCUUAGGUAAAAUCUUCCAAAUUACAAAAAUGUAAACCAGCUGGAGAAGAGCAAUCUUCCUUUCCAUUCUAAAGUGUUACUUAAAAUACAAUUACCUCAGCCUUGCAAAUCAGCUAGAGGGCAUCCCAGAUUAUUACAUGGGAAAUCAAGGUGUGUACUCCACAAUAAAAGUAAGUACAUUAGUCUAAUGAUCACCUUAAACCCAGAUUUAUCUUUUUUUAUUUGGUUUAGUGACUAGCCUAAUUUUGUAUAACAUGAAGUUCAAAUUUAUUUCUUUGAUCUACAGGACUGUUAUCUAAUCACAGCAGCCAGAUAUUGAACAAGAUUAUUACCUUGUCUGGUCAUUUUGUUUGCAGACACAGGACAGUUCCCCACAGCUUUUCUAAGAUCCAAAUCAAAGGGCUUUCAUUAUAGUCACAGAAAUUAUCUCUUAGCAUUACAAAUUUUCCCUAAUACUCAUCUUCUCUUUGUUUUCAUCUCUCUACAUUUUGUAACAAACUCUGUACCUAACAAUUUUCUUUGCUUCAGGGUUUGAAAGCUACUUAGCAUAACAUGGCUGUUCUCAGCCAAAUGUUGCUAAUACUCUCUGUAACCAAAUUUCUCUGCUAUAGAUAUUCUGGCCUGAAAUUUGUCAUAGUUGGGAGCAGAUUUUAAAGUCAUUUAAGCCUUUAAUUCUAUUAGGAAACCAGGGAAGUUAGUGGCCUAAUUAACUUUGAUGACUUGUGCCUUAGAUUUUAAGAGAUGCAACUCUUUUUAAAGGGCAAACAUUGCAUUUGAAAGGUUUUUAUGAAGCCUGUCACAUUCCAGAUUUUGAGCAAACACUCAUAUCCAACUGUCAGGUAACAUUUUCUUAAUGAAACCUUACAUGUAAAGGUUAAGUGAGAAGAAAACCAUUGCGAUGUGUCAAAGUAAAGACGCAAGCUCCUCCCCCCUCCCCCCCAGUAUGCAUUUAUCAUUUGUGGUUUUACAUGAGUUGGAAUGGAAGACAGCUGAAUUUACAUUCUGGAUAUGUUUGAAGAACAGCUCCUCACCAUAAGAAGUGUGGCUACUGUUUCAUAGAAUAAACAUCAAGAUGAACUGGCUUUGUUAACACAUUAAUGUCCAAGGCUUAAAAAAAAAAAAAAAACCAAGAUGUUUUACAAGAUUUGAAAGAGAAUUAGAAAACAAGGCUCACUUGAGAGACGUAGAGGUACAGGGCUUCACCACUGGUGAUGGGAACCAGAAUUUAAAAUUCCUGACAAAUAUUCAGGAAGUUCAUAAGUAAAUGGAUAAAACCUGAAGAAAUGAAAGCACGUGCAGUCCUUCCAUGUACUAAGCAAGACAGAAGAGAUUGAACAAAUAUUUAUACGACUUAUCUAUGUUUUUGAUGGAAACUAAUUUGCUUACUGUAAACUAGAUGAUUGAAUAGAGCAACCUAGGGAAAUUUCCUUGAGAAUCCUCAUAUGUAAAGUACAUAGCACUAACAAGCAAUUAAUAAUAUGAACCAUAAGAAAUCAAAUUUAGAAAUGAUAACAUAUUGUUCAAAGACAGCAAGUGCAACAUCAG